AUUGAACGCUGGCGGCAGGCUUAACACAUGCAAGUCGAGCGGUAGCACAGGGGAGCUUGCUCCCUGGGUGACGAGCGGCGGACGGGUGAGUAAUGUCUGGGAAACUGCCUGAUGGAGGGGGAUAACUACUGGAAACGGUAGCUAAUACCGCAUAACGUCGCAAGACCAAAGAGGGGGACCUUCGGGCCUCUUGCCAUCAGAUGUGCCCAGAUGGGAUUAGCUAGUAGGUGGGGUAAUGGCUCACCUAGGCGACGAUCCCUAGCUGGUCUGAGAGGAUGACCAGCCACACUGGAACUGAGACACGGUCCAGACUCCUACGGGAGGCAGCAGUGGGGAAUAUUGGACAAGGGGCGCAAGCCUGAUGCAGCCAUGCCGCGUGUGGGAAGAAGGCCUUCGGGUUGUAAAGCACGUUCAGCGAGGAGGAAGGUGGUGAGCUUAAUACGUUCAUCAAUUGACGUUACUCGCAGAAGAAGCACCGGCUAACUCCGUG
rnacentral:rRNA from 1 species